rnacentral:rRNA from 2 species
AACGCUGGCGGCGUGCCUAAUACAUGCAAGUCGAACGAACUCUGGUAUUGAUUGGUGCUUGCAUCAUGAUUUACAUUUGAGUGAGUGGCGAACUGGUGAGUAACACGUGGGAAACCUGCCCAGAAGCGGGGGAUAACACCUGGAAACAGAUGCUAAUACCGCAUAACAACUUGGACCGCAUGGUCCGAGUUUGAAAGAUGGCUUCGGCUAUCACUUUUGGAUGGUCCCGCGGCGUAUUAGCUAGAUGGUGAGGWAACGGCUCACCAUGGCAAUGAUACGUAGCCGACCUGAGAGGGUAAUCGGCCACAUUGGGACUGAGACACGGCCCAAACUCCUACGGGAGGCAGCAGUAGGGAAUCUUCCACAAUGGACGAAAGUCUGAUGGAGCAACGCCGCGUGAGUGAAGAAGGGUUUCGGCUCGUAAAACUCUGUUGUUAAAGAAGAACAUAUCUGAGAGUAACUGUUCAGGUAUUGACGGUAUUUAACCAGAAAGCCACGGCUAACUACGUGCCAGCAGCCGCGGUAAUACGUAGGUGGCAAGCGUUGUCCGGAUUUAUUGGGCGUAAAGCGAGCGCAGGCGGUUUUUUAAGUCUGAUGUGAAAGCCUUCGGCUCAACCGAAGAAGUGCAUCGGAAACUGGGAAACUUGAGUGCAGAAGAGGACAGUGGAACUCCAUGUGUAGCGGUGAAAUGCGUAGAUAUAUGGAAGAACACCAGUGGCGAAGGCGGCUGUCUGGUCUGUAACUGACGCUGAGGCUCGAAAGUAUGGGUAGCAAACAGGAUUAGAUACCCUGGUAGUCCAUACCGUAAACGAUGAAUGCUAAGUGUUGGAGGGUUUCCGCCCUUCAGUGCUGCAGCUAACGCAUUAAGCAUUCCGCCUGGGGAGUACGGCCGCAAGGCUGAAACUCAAAGGAAUUGACGGGGGCCCGCACAAGCGGUGGAGCAUGUGGUUUAAUUCGAAGCUACGCGAAGAACCUUACCAGGUCUUGACAUACUAUGCAAAUCUAAGAGAUUAGACGUUCCCUUCGGGGACAUGGAUACAGGUGGUGCAUGGUUGUCGUCAGCUCGUGUCGUGAGAUGUUGGGUUAAGUCCCGCAACGAGCGCAACCCUUAUUAUCAGUUGCCAGCAUUAAGUUGGGCACUCUGGUGAGACUGCCGGUGACAAACCGGAGGAAGGUGGGGAUGACGUCAAAUCAUCAUGCCCCUUAUGACCUGGGCUACACACGUGCUACAAUGGAUGGUACAACGAGUUGCGAACUCGCGAGAGUAAGCUAAUCUCUUAAAGCCAUUCUCAGUUCGGAUUGUAGGCUGCAACUCGCCUACAUGAAGUCGGAAUCGCUAGUA